AGACCCAGGGAGAACGCCAUGGGAAGAUGAAGGCAGAGAUCAGGAUGAUGAAUCUACAAGUCAAGGCAUGCCAAAUAUUGCCAGCAAACCACUAGAAGCUAGGACAGAGGCAUGGAACAGAUUCUCCCUCACAGCCCUCAGAAGGAACCAACCCUGCGACAGCUUGAUUUCAGACUGCUAGCCUCUGGAAACGUGAGGGAAUACAUUUCUGUUUAAGCCAGUCAGCUUGUGGUACUUUGUUAUGGCAGCCCUAGCAGUAUUUGAUAUCUUGAUUAGGGUGGAUAUAACGGAUGACGUUGAAAUUCACACAAAUCCAUACCAGGUUGUGAUCCUCAAUUUUUAAGAAUUAUUUCAGCACUUUCUCUUAGCCAUAACUAAUAAAAAAGCUUGUUUGGGGCAAUGAAGAGGUGAAAGCACACGUGAGUAAGCAAGAAAAUUGACCUAGAGGAAGUGAUCAAUCUAAACAGCAGAGAAGUAGUGCUUCUGGAAAAAUCUUCAUCACACUCAUUCGCUUUGCAGUAAUGAAGUGGAAAAGGCACCUUAUCAAGACAAGCUUCAGAAUACGGAUGAAAAUAUUAGGUGAGCCCCUGGAAGCUGAACUUGGCACGCGUGUGUUAUCAGAGAAUCCUCCACAUGUGGAUUGCGUGGAGUUGAAGAUUUAUCUUACGAAGAGGGAAGCUAACGAAUUAAGAAAUUUCCAAGGAUAGCAUAAAACCUGGAGGAAUGAGAAACAAAAGGAGCUCUCUGUUCAGAUUCCUGCCUCUGAAAACCAGGAACAAAACAAAUUAGAAGAGCCUAAGAGCUUUGAAGAUUUUAAGUCUCUGAGCAAUCCAAAUCCUUUCGAAGUUGAAGAAUAUCUUUUUCUCGACAAACAGAAGCAUCCUUUUUAUGUUAAUACAGUCAUGCUAAGAAACAAUGACAGAAUAGUUGGUAUGGGAGUAAUGCCCUGAAAGAGAUGAGUCACUGUCUGAGGCAGAAACCGGAAAGCGUAAAGCUCCCUGUGGGGAAUACAACAAAGACGUGGGAACCAUUAUAGGACGAUCGACGUUGCCUCUGCCAUCACCUGGGUUUGUGAAUGGCUUCAUCAGCACUUCAUGCUAACACUAUUAAAUAUGAAGUGUCAAGCUCGGCACUCACAGAAGGUGACCUGGACUAGAGCCAGGCCCCCAGCUGAGCCUGUGAUGAGCAUCCAGGAGCUGCUCAAAUGAGGGAUCAAUGACUUGCAAGUUUACCAGGCAGAAUAAUGAAUAGAAGUGGGACAACUGCAAGCAAAAUUGGCAUGAGAAAUGAGGGUACUGAGAGAGUGGCCAAGAGUAGGGCACAGCUGCAGAAAGUUGAGGAACUAGCCCGCUAGAAUCUGACCUGGGAGGUACAAACACAGUGCGGAAAACUUGGUAGUCCUAUGAGGAUUUCGGGGGCAGAGAAAAUACUCUGUAUGAUACCAUAAAGAUGAAUACAUGUCUUUAAACGUUUGUCCAAACCCAUAGAAUGUACAACACCUCUCUGGCGGGGCAUGUUGAUAAUGGGGGAGAUUAUGUUUGUGACGGGCCAGGAAAUCUCUGUACUUUUCCCUCAAUUUUGCUGUGAACCUAAAAUUGCUCUAAAAAUAAAUGAAGUCAAUAAAAAAAGGUUUUUGUAAGGAAUAAACACACUAAGAUGUUUAUAUGAGCGAUCAUUUUGGUUAGUUUCAAUACAAUGCUAUCUAAAAGAUAUGGCUAGUUGUAUACUUGCAUCUUCUGCUAAAAUGAUAUUUGAACACCUCCAAGGCUAUAAGCUUGCAUGACCAGGAUGAGAAUAGAGCCUAUUGAGAAGCACAAGGAAGAUGAGUUGGAAGGUGAACUGGAAGAUGAGUUGGUUGUAGAGGAAAGAUUAUGAUUUCUACUUAGAAGGACUUUCUAUCUCAAAUAUUCAUACCACUAAAAGAAUGCUGAAUGUUAAUAAUGACAUUUAAUGUUAUAGUAGUAUUAAAAUAGAGUUGCUGUAUUUUUCUUAGAGAGUAAUAAAAGUUGAUAAGGAUUUUGAGACACACUUCUAUUUCUCAUUUAAUUGCACUCUUUGUAUCCACACCAGCCCGUCAAUGUAAGAUAAGAGAAAACACAGGUUUGUAUUACCCAGUUGGAUGCUACGCUGAUAUUUACUAAUAGAACUCUGCUGAUACAGAAGUAGAUAGUAAAAUAAGUUUUAUGUCAAUUGCUCAGGUAUUUUAGGAGGAGAAGAUAAGAUUAUGUUGAAAAGUAAACUGUAAGUUCCUUCGCUGGAGUUGCUGUGAGUUUUUAUUUCUUUACAUGUCCUAGUUUGUGAAAUGCUCACACGUGAGGCAUGCCAGGACCUAAGCCGACAGGGAGGAGACAGAAGCUAGGGAAGGAGCCUGGGAAAUACAACCUAAUGCAAUGGCUGCCGCCACCUGUAGCAGCUAAGUGAUUCAUUGUACAAAAGGCAAGCGUAGCCCCAGUUGAGGUUAUUUCUGAGAUCUAAGGGUGUCCAGCGGUUAAGUGGGGCAGGGAUAAAGUAGAAAGUCAUUGUGUCAGUUCAUACUCAAAAACAAGUGGGCGUCAGCAUCAUUUUAACUAUUUAAUUCAUGGGGGAAAUACAGCCAGUGAACCGGAGGCUGGGGAGGAGUGAGGAGGUAAUGGUGAAAGGAAAGCAAGGCCUAGCCUCUGGGAGGGAAGCUUAAGGUAGAUAAAGAGAUUUGGGGUGGUGUUCAAGCCUAGGUUGGCGGAAGGGGUAUUAAAAUCAUAAGCAGAGGAAAUUGAGGCAUAAUAUGGCUGAGAUGAACUGGUCCAAUCGGUACUUCCAUUAUUAGCAAUAAACAUAAAAGUGAUAAUAGCCACCAUCUAUUGGAUACUUAGUGUGUACCAGUACAUUUUAUACAUCCUCUCAUCUGAAUUCAAGCUGUAAAACAGCCCAAUGAAGUAGUUACUAGGGUCUCCAUUUUUAGAGAUGAGGAAAGUAAAUUACUGGACGAUUUAAUAACUUGAGCAAAGUCAUACAGUUAGUAACAAGCAGAGAUGGAAUUUGAGUGCAGGCUUUCUGAUGCUCACACCGGCGCGCUUGAGUACUACUACAUAGUACUAGGGGUUAAAUUCUCUGACAAAAUUCUGUCCUACUUAGGAUUUGAUGAGGAACUUGAUGACCUGAUCCAACUGCUGGAGGGAUCAGAGACUAACUUUAAAGGACUGAAACAUUCUCUCUUUCUUCCAUACCAUCUAACUCCUGGGCCUUACAUUCCGUUGGUGAAUAUUUAUUGUUCAUUUUUUGAUUGCUUUUAAAUCCAAGUUAGGAAGAUUAAGGAGAGAACAACAACAAAACCUUCUCCUCUGCUAUGCCAGGAUGGAGAUUUAUGCUGCUCGGGAAAAAGAAAUUUUCUUCUCCAGAGAGGCAAGAUGUGAUAUGUAUCUUCCC